GUAUAUUGAAUUUUAUGAUGCAAUGUCCAUGCGAAUGGCUAUAGCUCUCUCUGGCCACCUACUUUUCGGACAACCUUUAAUGGUUAAACCAUCAAAAGCUGAAAAGAACCUUGUUCAAACUAAUGCUUCUGGUGGUGGUUCAGUCGUAGGAUCCUAUAUUGCAGUUGAUAGAAAACUGUAUGUGGGAAAUUUACACUUCAGCAUUACAGUAUUUCAGCUUAGACAGGUUCUUGGAGGUUCAUACAUUUCACAAAUAGCUCCUCUAGGUUUCCAGAUUUCAAGAAAUCCAAUGGAAAUUCCAUCUUUGAGUUAGUUAUUACACCAACAAAAAUUAAUGGUGUACAUUAUCUUUAGAUGGUUUUUGGCGUGAAAAAGUGGAUAUUCUUUAUUUUUGUACAGAGGACAUUGUUUUUUUUAUAAUCCGUUAUUAUGUUGUCCUUUGUUUUUUUUUUUGGAUUACUAUUGUUCAUACAGAUAACUAUUGGCAUGGUACAAAUUGCUUUUGGCAUAGAAUAUAUUACUUUUGGCAUGGUAUAGAUUAUCAUUUGACAUGGUAUUGUGGAUUUUUUUUUUUUUUUGUGU